CAACGUGGGGAACCUGCCCCAUAGUCUGGGAUACCACUUGGAAACAGGUGCUAAUACCGGAUAAGAAAGCAGAUCGCAUGAUCAGCUUUUAAAAGGCGGCGUAAGCUGUCGCUAUGGGAUGGCCCCGCGGUGCAUUAGCUAGUUGGUAAGGUAAAGGCUUACCAAGGCGAUGAUGCAUAGCCGAGUUGAGAGACUGAUCGGCCACAUUGGGACUGAGACACGGCCCAAACUCCUACGGGAGGCAGCAGGU
rnacentral:rRNA from 1 species